GCGUUAGUGGUUCAGUGGUAGAAUGCUAGCUAACCACGUACCUGGUUCGGGGUUCGAUUCCCAGCAAGCGCA
rnacentral:tRNA from 1 species